GACGAACGCUGGCGGCGUGCUUAACACAUGCAAGUCGAGCGGUAAGGCCCUUUCGGGGGUACACGAGCGGCGAACGGGUGAGUAACACGUGGGUGACCUGCCCUCAGCUCUGGGAUAAGCCUGGGAAACCGGGUCUAAUACUGGAUAUGACUCCAUGACGCAUGUUGUGGGGUGGAAAGCCUUGUGCGGCUGAGGAUGGGCCCGCGGCCUAUCAGCUUGUUGGUGGGGUGAUGGCCUACCAAGGCGACGACGGGUAGCCGGCCUGAGAGGGCGACCGGCCACACUGGGACUGAGACACGGCCCAGACUCCUACGGGAGGCAGCAGUGGGGAAUAUUGGACAAUGGGCGCAAGCCUGAUCCAGCGAUGCCGCGUGUGUGAAGAAGGCCUGCGGGUU
rnacentral:rRNA from 1 species